GUGUCAGCAGCCGCGGUAAUACGUAGGCAGCGAGCGUUGUUCGGAGUUACUGGGCGUAAAGAGUGCGUAGGCGGUGGCCUAAGUCUGGUGUGAAAUCUCCCGGCUCAACUGGGAGGGUGCGCCGGAAACUGGGUUGCUAGAGUGUGGGAGAGGCUAGCGGAAUUCCUGGUGUAGCGGUGAAAUGCGUAGAUAUCAGGAGGAACACCUGCGGUGUAGACGGCUGGCUGGACCACUACUGACGCUGAGGCACGAAAGCGUGGGGAGCAAACAGGAUUAGAAACCCCCGUAGUCC
rnacentral:rRNA from 1 species